AUACGGAGGGUCCAAGCGUUAUCCGGAAUCAUUGGGUUUAAAGGGUCCGCAGGCGGUCAAUUAAGUCAGAGGUGAUAGCCCAUCGCUCAACGAUGGAACUGCCUUUGAUACUGGUUGACUUGAGUUAUACGGAAGUAGAUAGAAUAAGUAGUGUAGCGGUGAAAUGCAUAGAUAUUACUUAGAAUACCGAUUGCGAAGGCAGUCUACUACGUAUAUACUGACGCUGAGGGACGAAAGCGUGGGGAGCGAACAGGAUUAGAAACCCUAGUAGUCC
rnacentral:rRNA from 1 species